rnacentral:rRNA from 1 species
CACGUAGGGGGCGAGCGUUGUCCGGAUUUAUUGGGCGUAAAGAGCUCGUAGGCGGCUCGGUAAGUCAGGUGUGAAAACUCUAGGCUCAACCUAGAGACGCCACCUGAUACUGCCGUGGCUAGAGUCCGGUAGGGGAGCAUGGAAUUCCUGGUGUAGCGGUGAAAUGCGCAGAUAUCAGGAGGAACACCGGUGGCGAAGGCGGGUCUCUGGGCCGAUACUGACGCUGAGGAGCGAAAGCGUGGGGAGCGAACAGG